ensembl:lncRNA
CAGCGGCCACUGCUAAACCUUGGAAAGUCUUGGCAGAGAAUCUGCUUAGUUAGAGAGGGGCCCACCGAGGUCAGUGGAAUCGCCUUAAAAGGACCCUUGAAAGGGCGUGGCUAAGAGCGACUCAGGGCUUCCUCUUUGCCAGGCUUUUUUCAUUUUCAUGAGGGCUCAUUUUAAACGCAGGGAGCCAUGAAGUUGGUAAUAAUCAUUCCCACUUCGCAGAUAAGAAACUGAGGCACGGAAGAGUUAGGUGCCCAGAGCCGGUUAGUGGCAUCCCCGAGGUUUGCAGCCAUGGAGUCCCAACCAGGGCUCACAGGCUGAAGGGUUCUGCCAUAAUUGCCAAAAAAGGAUGUUGGCACCCAUCUUACCAGGCAAAUACAGCGGUACAUACAAAUACAAGAGUCCUCCAGGAACUUAGUCAAGGUCAGUUGUGCAGAGUCUAUUGCCCAGACCCUGCCUCCCCUCCCUCACCCCUUAAAUUCCCCCUUGAGCUCGAAGCACCCCCGGGGCCGAUGGGGGAGUGUUGGGAGCCAGCUUCCAAGGUGGGUAUGGGGGGGGGGGGGGGCUCAGGGGCUGAGCCACGAGCCCCUCCCCACCUGUCUCUUGCCUCCCUCCACCGGGUCCAGAGGCAGAGCACCAACACAUGAGCCUUCCUUUCACCCAACAGAUCAUACAAUCCACCAAUAUUUCUUGAGCAUCUGCAGAGGCCAGGCACACUGCUGGACAGUGAGUGGACAGCAGUGGGCAGGGUUUUUCAUCAUAAAGACAGGCAACAAACACAUCAAUGCACAGGAUGAUUUUGGCUACUCAACGCUGAGAAAUGAUAGAAACAAGUGAUGCACUAGGAAGAGUCUGGGGUGGGGGCCACUGCUAUCAUCCCUCUUAUUUGAACCGAGCUUUACAGUUGCACCUAUUGGAUGCUGAGACAUGUGCUUGCGUCUGCACCUGUCCCCUAUUGGAUGCUGAGACGGGCACUUGUGUCUGCACCUGUCCCCCCCACCACGUGUGACAGCUUGAAGCCAGAGCCUGUGUUCUCAUCCCUGUGCCCCCCUCCUACCACCACCAUGGCCCAGUGCCCAGCAACCCCUCAGAGAAGGGUAAUCUGGUACUUGCUGAGUGAGAAAGCCCAGAACUGACUGGAGCCUGUCUCAUGACAUUGAACUUGACCCUGGUUUGGGGAAGGAAAGUCCCAGAGAUGGUCAAAGUGCUCAGAGUCCUUGCUCUGCCCAGUCAUUGGCAUGGCUCGUCUCCCUCCAUCCUUGCCUUGCAGACAGAUACCACAACAAACCCCAUUUUACAGAUGUGGAAAUUGAGGCUGCACGUCUAUAGAAGCAGAGCCAAGUUUAGCACCAUGACUCUACCCACUGUGCCCUACAGUCGGCCCCCAAGCGGGCCUUAUACCCAAUGGGAAAUGCUUAAUGGGAGAGGGAGAGGGUGGGGUGUGACCCUGAGCAAGUCACAUCCCCUCUCUGAGCCUCUGUUUCCUCGGGUCUGUGAAACAGGGGUGACACAGGGGACUUACCUAGGCUGGGUUCAUUUCAGGGCUUCAAUGAGAUAAUGAGAGCAACCUGCCCAGCAAGAAGCCUGGAAUUCAGGAAUAAGUUUCGCAUUAAAAAAUAAAUAAAUACAUAAGCUUGUAAAUGCUCGUUCUCUUCUUUGUUCCCCAAGUCCAUACUAAACAAUUUUUAAAAAGCUUCUGCCAGGGCUGCUGCUCUGCCCAAAUUCCUUCCUGCCCCAGAAGCACCUCUAACUACUCCCACAUAUGGGUGAUGGAGAGCCGGUCUCUAAAGCAGAGCUCACAGGGCAGCCUAAUUCCCAGUUUGUGGCCAAAUUGUAAGGGGAGAGGUCUCCUCCAACUCUUUCUGCACGGGGUGUUCUUGAAUCAGGCAGACCCCGGGUCUGAGGGUGGGAUGGCAGAGGGGUUAGGAGCCUGGAGUUUGCCUCCUUAGAAUCCCAGCUCUGCUCCCUCCUUUGCUGUGUAGUCCUGAGCCCUUAACUUCCCCUCUCUUCCCUACACCACAGCUCACAGCAACACCAGAUCCUUAACCCACUUAGCAAGGCCAGGAAUCGAACCUGCAACUUCAUGGUUCCUAGUCAGAUUCGUUAACCACUGAACCAUGACGGGAACUCCCUGCAUCAGUUUUAACAGCUAAUUACCCAAGACUCUUGUGAGAUAACAAGAUUGCCUCAUAUUCAUCACCAUCCUCUCAGUGAAGUUACGCUCAACAAGUAAUAUUUAUUAUCAUAAGUAAUCCUUCUAGCAACUUUUACAGACGAGUUACUGUUGUCAUGGUCCCCCUUUUACAGGUGAAGAAACUGAGGCUUGGCGAGGUAAGUGACUUGGCAGAACAGGGAUCUGAAGCCAGGUCAGAUUGAUGCCAAAGCUCUUGCUAUGAGAAGACCUUACCCACCCCUGCCCUAAAAUUCCUCAGGAACAAGUCAGGGGGACUGGGGUUCACUGAUGUCAAGUGUCCACCUGCUGGUCACCUAUGGUAGUGACAAAACCAGCAUCUGUAUCCUGGUCCCUGUCACCAAAGCUGGUUCCUUGUUUAUGAGACACCCAGUACCUAGUAGGGACAUGGUGGUAUCAGCAUCCCCUUCCAGCCACAGGGAAAUUAACCCAGUUAAUCAAGCUGGUGACUUUGUUUUGCAGGAGCCCCAUCUCUCUAGAAGAUCCAGCGGGCAUAUCCAAGCUUUCCUAGGGUUUAUCCACACACACACCCGUUGCCAUGAGCAUCCCAUAAGACACCCCAGCCCCAGAAAGACUUAAUCUCACGCUCCCUCCUUCCAGUGCCCAAUGCUGCCAUCCUUCCUGGGUGCUCACUCCAGACAUAUUAUUCAGGGUAAAUUCAUUUGUCCCAAACGCAGAUGUAAGAUGUAAUUCCCCAAGAAUUCAAAUGUAAUUUAAAGUUAUUUUCCAGUAUCUAAUUUGCCUUUUAUUUAUUUAGGGCAAUAUUUCAGCAGGAGCCUCCCAGCCAAAGUGCCCUGGUUUGUUUACAGGGCUGGGCCCAGCAAUGAAGGGGAGCCACGCACUGGAGACACAGACGUUACCAAUUUAAAAAGUAAUUACAACAUUGAACACAGCUUUAAAUAAAAGCAAAAAGGCAGGAGACAGGAGUGGAAGCAGAAACAUAAAUUGGGAACAAUGCUGUUUUCCCCAGAUGUUUUGUAAUAUUUGCAGCCUCCCUGGUCCUGGCGCUCUUCCCUGGCUGCAUCAGACACAAGUGAAGCAUCCAGCAAGGAGGGGCGGGGUAGCUGUGCUCUAUAAAGAGGUGGAAAGAAGUUUCUAAUUACGAGAGAUCAUUUAUCUGCCUGUUUGCCUGUCUCUUUGUUUAAUAUCUUUCUCUAGUGAGAACCCUCUUAUACCGGUUCUCAGGAGAUAAAUUAAUAAACUCUAUGACAACAGGUAACCAAAACUUAGCCCAGCCCAAACUGACCUAACUCAUGAGAAGCCAGCAAUAGGGUAGGCUUCAGAUACAGUUGGAUCUAGGUGCUCAAAAUUUUCAAGACUCUCUCCAUCUCUAUCUCAUGGCUCUGCUCCCUGCAGAGCUAGCUUCAUUCUCAGCCAGUCUUUUUCAACCUGGUGACUAAGAUAAGUCACCUUAGCAUUCUCAGUGGAAAAGGAGUGUUUCUCUUCUCAUCGUUCUAGCAAAAAUCUCAGGUCUGCUUGGGGCAUGUCCUGAUCCCUGAACCAAUCACUGUAGCCAGGAAGUUUCAGUCCUGUGAUUGGCUAGGCUUGAGUCAGACUCCCAUUCCUUGAGAACGGCAGUCGGACCAGGUUUUCCCAAACCACAUAGAGAAUGGGGGAAGAGUGAUUCUUGAAAAGAAAAUUGAAGUUCUGUGAGAGUCGAAGACGCAAUGGGACCCUCGGCAGGCAAACACAACUGAUGGUCCCCAUAGAUAGGAAUGAUUUCUGUCUUUUUGCAAUCCCCAUUCUCUUCCUGCAUCAUCUAUAGACCAUGUUUAGAGACGUGUGAGCACUGCAGAGUGUACUCUACGUUCCACUCUCAGACUGCCCUGCAGAACAUCAAAUUUGUGGGUUCCUCCCUCAACUUUAUUAAAAGAAGCUGUCAGUUAUGGGUAGCAUGAAGGAACAGAUACAUUUUUGUCAUCGCCGAGGAGAGCCUGUGGCAGAAGGACAAGUACAAAGCAUGUGGCCCUUAAAGUGGAUUUCCUUCAAGAGGUAACAAGAGCUUUGCGGUGUGGAAGAGUUAAAAAAAAAAUGCCAGUUGUCUAAUACUUAGGUCAGAGGGGAGGUAGGAGGUAAUUAUUAUGAACUGACUCCAAAUCAACACUCCUGAGUCCAGCUCUUACCCAGAGUGUUUGUGAACCAAGAGCGUUUCGAUCUGACAGAUAUAACCCUGGGGCCAAAUAUCUGAGACUCGGCCAAACAUAGUGCUGAAGGAGCGGGAGCCAGAAAGUCAACCUAGAACCACAGAACAAAGCCGCCACAGGACUGUGCAGAAUUCAGCGUCAACAGCGACCCCUUUGGCAACAAGAAGCAACUGCAACAGAGGACCCACCAGACUCCUGAUCUUGCUAUCGUCUUGGUUAAAGGAAAACAGAAUCUCUUGUGAACUAGGAAAUUCUUUGAGGUUUAGAGACCACUCCAAGGAGGGUCGGGGGCAAAGAAGGAACCUUAAGAGAAGUGAUAGAUGUCCUACGAAUAAGGCAGGUGAGUGCUGAAGCAAUUGUUCAGAAAGAUGCAAGCACUCUUGUGUAUGCCCCAUGU